CCUUUGACGUUAGCGGCGGACGGGUGAGUAACACGUGGGUAACCUACCUAUAAGACUGGGAUAACUUCGGGAAACCGGAGCUAAUACCGGAUAAUAUUUCGAACCNCAUGGUUCGAUAGUGAAAGGUGGUUUUGCUAUCACUUAUAGAUGGACCCGCGCCGUAUUAGCUAGUUGGUAAGGUAACGGCUUACCAAGGCGACGAUACGUAGCCGACCUGAGAGGGUGAUCGGCCACACUGGAACUGAGACACGGUCCAGACUCCUACGGGAGGCAGCAGCG
rnacentral:rRNA from 1 species